GACGAACGCUGGCGGCGUGCCUAAUACAUGCAAGUUGAGCGCUGAAGGUUGGUACUUGUACCAACUGGAUGAGCAGCGAACGGGUGAGUAACGCGUGGGGAAUCUGCCUUUGAGCGGGGGACAACAUUUGGAAACGAAUGCUAAUACCGCAUAAAAACUUUAAACACAAGUUUUAAGUUUGAAAGAUGCAAUUGCAUCACUAAAAGAUGAUUCCGCGUUGUAUUAGCUAGUUGGUGAGGUAAAGGCUCACCAAGGCGAUGAUACAUAGCCGACCUGAGAGGGUGAUCGGCCACAUUGGGACUGAGACACGGCCCAAACUCCUACGGGGCGGAGCAGGAGGGAAGCUUCGGCAAUGGAAGAAAGUCUGACCGAGCAACGCCGCGUGAGUGAAGAAGGUUGUCGGAUCGUAAAACUCGGUUGGUAGAGAAGAACGUUGGUGAGAGUGGAAAGCUCAUCAAGUGACGGUAACUACACAGAAAGGGACGGCUAACUACGUG
rnacentral:rRNA from 1 species